UAUACACAAAAAUGAAGUACAGAUGUAUAUCAAAUGACUGCUGUGGGCUUGUGGUAAACAGAAAACCAUGCUUUAAAUUGAAAAACCUUGUUAUAUGCCAUGUUUUUCAUUUAAUAAUAUUAAAAGCACUCUUGAAAUUGAACUUCUUGAAAAUAUGUUUCAUUGUUUUGUAAAAAUAUCUUAAGUUAUCUAUUCUAAAUUAUCUAUUCUUAUAUAAGAAAUACAAAUUAAAAUUGGUUAUUGGAAAUAAGUCAAUUAAAAGUCAAGGGAUAAUGAUGUAAUGUACUUAAAAAUGUCAAAACUGCUAUUGUCUCUAUUUGUAUUCUAGAUAUGUUAUAUCCUUAAACAAACAAAUACAAUGUUGUCUCCUUGUUGAAUAGGUGUUGUGUACCUCUGAACAUGUCAAGUCAUUUACUUUAAGUAUUUUAAAUUAGUUCUCACUAUCUGCACCCGUAAGUCACUCAUGAAUUUUGUGUAAUAAACAUUGGAUAAAUAUAUUUUUAUAUAAUCAAUUAUAAGAUAAGGUAAAAAGUGUAUGUGCGUUAUAAGUAAUAAACAUUGGAUAAAUAUAUUUUUAUAUAAUCGAUUAUAAGAUAAGGUGAAAAAUGUAUGAGCGUUAUUAGUAAUAAACAUUGGAUAAAUAUAUUUUUAUAUAAUCGAUUAUAAGAUAAGGUGAAUAGUGUAUGUGCGUUAUUAAAUUCAUCAGGUAUGACCAUACUGUGCUACAAGUUUUGUAAUUGUGACUAUUAAAAGUACAUGAUCUGCAAAAAAUGUCACUUAAACAAAUGUGUAUAUGUUUAUCAUUAUUAAAUUCUUUCCAACUAGA